GACGAAUGCUGGCUGCGUGCUUAACACAUGCAAGUCGAACGGUGAAGGAGGGCUUGCCCUCCGGAUCAGUGGCGAACGGGUGAGUAACACGUGGGCAACCUGCCCCUCACUCUGGGAUAACGCCGGGAAACCAGCGCUAAUACCGGAUACGACCAGGCGCGACAUCUCGCCUGGUGGAAAGAAUUUCGGUGAAGGAUGGGCCCGCGGCCUAUCAGCUAGUUGGUGGGGUAACGGCCCACCAAGGCGACGACGGGUAGCCGGCCUGAGAGGGCGACCGGCCACACUGGGACUGAGACACGGCCCAGACUCCUACGGGAGGCAGCAGUGGGGAAUAUUGCGCAAUGGGCGAAAGCCUGACGCAGCGACGCAGCGUGAGGGACGAAGGCCUUCGGGUUGUAAACCUCUUUCAGCGGGGACGAAGCGAAAGUGACGGUACCCGCAGAAGAAGCACCGGCUAACUACGUGCCAGCCGCCGCAGUAAAAC
rnacentral:rRNA from 1 species